UGAUCGGCAGGCUGCCUUCCGUGUCGCGAUAGCGAAUGAGCGCGUUGAUGUCCGCCAGCGCCAUGUCGCUGUUGCCGGAUGCGACGCGUGCAAUGGCAUCCUGUGAUCCGGUCGCGGCAUCGGUAGUCACGUUAAGACCUUCCGCACGAAACAAGCCCUUGCUGGAUGCGAGGAUAAAUGGUGCCGCCGAGCCAUCGAUCGGCCGGUCGAACGAAAAGUGCAGGGCCGACGCAGCCACGCCGGGCAUCGCGCCGAGGAAGGGCGCGCACAGNNAGGAGCGCGAUCAGCAGCGGGACGAUUUUAUAGAGGAUGCGGUCCGGAUUUUUGGGCAUGCGCGGCACUUGGUCUUGGGAAGCGUGGGGCGGCUUUUGAGC
rnacentral:misc_RNA from 1 species